rnacentral:tRNA from 1 species
AAAUAUGAAGUAAAUUAAUACAUUUAGUUUCGACCUAAAAUUUUGAUAAGUAUAUUAUCCAUAUUUU